GGUGAACGCUGGCGGCGUGCUUAAGACAUGCAAGUCGAACGCAGUCUUCGGACUGAGUGGCGCACGGGUGAGUAACACGUAACUGACCUACCCCCAAGUCGCGAAUAACCAGCCGAAAGGAUGGCUAAUACGUGAUGUGAUGAUCCGCUGUGGCGGAUCAUUAAAGACUUGAUCGCUUGGGGAUGGGGUUGCGUUCCAUCAGCUAGUUGGUAAGGUAAGGGCUUACCAAGGCAACGACGGAUAGCCGGCCUGAGAGGGUGGCCGGCCACAGGGGCACUGAGACACGGGUCCCACUCCUACGGGAGGCAGCAGUUAGGAAUCUUCCACAAUGGGCGCAAGCCUGAUGGAGCGACGCCGCGUGAGGGAUGAAGGUUCUCGGAUCGUAAACCUCUGAACCAACGACGAAAGACCCGACAAGGGAGAUGACGGUAGUUGGGUAAUAGCACCGGCUAACUCCGUGCCAGCCGCCGCGGUAAAAC
rnacentral:rRNA from 1 species